AGUGGCUUAUAAUGCCAAAAAUAUUUUACUUAUAAAAGCCGUAUUAUCGCUAAUAAGCGUGCGUUUGGGCACAAAUUACAAGGACAAUAACCUCAAAGCCCUCUUAUAAUUGUUUUAUUGUUAGCUUAUUUUUCUUAUACGUGCUUUAUUAUAGCAAGCAACAAGAGAGUCAAACUAAUAAAAGCAAAAGGAUUGCUUAUAGAAAGCCAAUAAACUUGUAAGAGACAUGUUGAAAAGCGUUAAUAAAGCCAACCAACCUUAUACGUGUUUUAUUAUGGCGAGCAACAAGGGAGUAAAACUUAUAGCGAUUUUUUAAUAAUGCCGUACAAAAUCUAGUAAUAUAGUAAAAAUAUUUGAAAAGGGGAAAUCAAAACUAUCUGCAGUUCCAAGCAAUUGGAAAAUCGGAGACCACACAAUCAUCAUCAGAUGGCCCUUAAAACACCCUUUUGUAAACAUUGGAUCAGCCCUCGUAUUGAUUAAUGCUUCUACUGAUAAUCACCAAUAUGGUGACUGAAAAAAAACGUGAUUCUCAAAUAUUUGUUUUAUUUGAUUUUCCUUCAUAGAUUC